GAGGGUGUAGCUCAGUGGUCGAGUGUGUGCCUAGCAUGCAUGAGGUCCUGGGUUCCAUCCCCAGCACCUCCA
rfam:Camelus ferus unplaced genomic scaffold scaffold518, whole genome shotgun sequence.